rnacentral:lncRNA from 1 species
UAAUAUCUCAUAUCACGCCUCCACAAAAAUUUGUCUUAGUAUUUUCAAAUAAAGCAUUUUCUCGUUUCAAGUCAUGUCGUGUUGCAUUUGUUGUUUCCGUUACAAAUAUCUGACUCUUCAAGCCAAAUGGCUUUUCCUCUCCCUCCACCUUCAACCAAAGGUGUCCAUUGGGCUUCAAUUAAAUCAGUUUUGUAAAUUUCAGAAAGUAGAGAAAUUCCUUGAGGACAUUGUAUUUUUCCAUCGUGAACAUUGAACGAUGUAAAUGCCAAAAAAAAAAAAAAAAAAAAAAAAAAAAAAAAAAAACCUUAAUACAAGCAAUUAAAAUCUAUUCAAAUUAUAUUAAGGAAACCAAUGCUCAUUCUCAAAAUAGGAAUAUGGAUAGCCAUUAGGUGGUGCAGUUCACGUGCUGGACUAGUAUGAAAUGCAUGCAACUUACAAUUCAGUAUUAGUGGUUUAUACUAGAAAUUCUUUCCAAUUGAUUAUAAUGUUAUCAUGAAAAAGAAAAAUUUAUAUUUCAUUUGCUUAUUCACUUGGGGAUUACUUAAUUUUAUUCAAUCAGCUCUAAGGAAGGGUAAGUAAAUCGCAAUAAAUUGAAGGAGAAGUUUGUACCAUUCUGGAAUGACAGAUGACAUAUAUACUAAAUAGAGUUAGCCAGACUUCAAUCCCAUGAGACU